CAGAAGACUUCCAACUUUCAGACAGGUUGCUCACGUCACAUCUACGUCUUCAAGCUCAGUUGGAGGCUGCUCAGUAACGCUCAGCCAUCACCGGGAAAGAGACUUCUAAUAUCCUUCACUGGUCUCCGUCCAAAGCAACGGGGUCUGUUGCUCCAUUUUAUAUAUGUCAAUAGUAUUGAUAGACAGCAG